UACGGGGGAGCAAGCGUUGUUCGGAUUUACUGGGCGUAAAGGGCGCGUAGGCGGUCAGCACAAGUCAGUUGUGAAAUCUCCGGGCUUAACCCGGAGCGGCCAAGUGAUACUGUCGUGCUAGAGUGCGGAAGGGGCUACUGGAAUUCUCGGUGUAGCGGUGAAAUGCGUAGAUAUCGAGAGGAACACCUGCGGCGAAGGCGGGUAGCUGGGCCGACACUGACGCUGAGGCGCGAAAGCCAGGGGAGCGAACGGG
rnacentral:rRNA from 1 species